rnacentral:lncRNA from 1 species
CUGAAAUACGAAUCAGAGUAAAAAAAUUUGAAUCAGAAUUAGAAACAGCAAAAAAAAAUCUAGAAGACGCAGAAAGGGCAGCAAUUAAUGACCUAACAAAAGAAUUAUUACAUAAAAUAAAGGAGGCUGUUGGUGAAGCAAAUUUUGCAAAAGAAGCAGCAAAAACAGCAAGCACAGAAGCAGAAGCGGCAAUGAAUGCAAUAUAUGAAGCAAAAACAAAAGCAGAAGCGACAAAAAAAGAAGUAGAAACAGCAAAAAAAAACUUAGAAGAGGAAAAAAAUAAAGUAGAAAAAGCAAAAAUCGAAGCAGAAAAAGCAGAAAAAAAAACAGCAGCAAUAUUAUCGACAUUAAUAGAAAAUUAUAAAAAGGAAGCAGAAAACCGUUUAAAAGCCCAAGAAAAAAUACAAAGCCAUUUAGAUGCUAUCCGUAAAGAUAUUACAAUGACUUGGUCUGAAUGUAGUGUUACUUGUGGAGAUGGAAUUGAAAUUAAAAGAAACGAAGAAAGCAAAGAUAAAGCAGCUGCAGAUUUAACUGAAGCUGAUCUUGAUGUUAAAAUUUGUAAAAUGGGUCAAUGCUCUAAUGCAAAAAUAGUAGUAUCAGAAGAAGAACCAGCAAAGGGUGUACCAGAAACAAAAGGAGUAACAGCAGUAGCAGAUAAUCAAAGAAAAACAUUAUUAAAUGAAGUAACCACAGUAUUCGAUAAAAUAAUUAAUGCAGUACAGGUUGCAAACAUGGCAGAAGAUGAAGCAAAAAUAGCAAAAGAUGAAGCAGAAGAAGCAAAAAAUGAAGCAAAUAAGAUGGCACAGCUAGCAACAAAGAUGGCAGAACUUGCAAAAAAAGCAAAUGAUUUGGUAAUACAAAAAGUAGAUGCCAUAAAAGAAGUAUUAGAUACAGCAAAUAAAGAAGAAAAAGCAGCAAAUAAAGCAGUAAAAAAAGCAAAUAAAGAAAAACAAAAAGCAUAUAAAAUAAAACAGUUAGCAGAUAUGCAAAAAACAGAAUUAGGCAAAAAAGGAACAGUAGAAGAAAAAGAAACAGUAAAUAUCGCAGUAGCAAAAGCAAAUGACUUAUUUAAAACAGCAGAAGCAGAAUUAAAAAAAGCAAAAGAGGUACAAGCAGAAGCAAAAACAACAACAGAAAAUGCAAAUAAUGUAGCAGAUACAUUAAAAAAUGAAAUAACAAACGCAAAUAAUGCAGUACUUAAAGCAAAUGAAGCAGCAGAAGAAGCAAAUCAAGCAGCACAAGAAGCAAAUCAAGCAGCAGAAAAAGCAGAAAAAAAAGCAGAAGAAGCAAAAGAAAAAGCAGAAGAAGUAAAAAAAAUAGAAAGUAAAGUAAAAGCGACAAUAGAAGAAAAACAUUCAGUUAAGAAAUUAAUGGAAGAAAUAGGUAAAGCAAAAGCAGUAAAACGUAAAAUAGAUAUUGAAAAAAUAUCAAAUUUAGAAUCAACGUUACAAACAGCAGAAAAUAACGUAACAGCCGCAAAAAAUCAAGCAAAAAAUGACCUAACAGAAGCAUUAUUAAAUAAAAUAAAGGAGGUUGUUGGUGUAGCAAAUUUUGCAAACGAAGCAGUAGAAGCAGCAGAAGUAGCAAAACAAGAAAAAAAAAAAGUGGAAACAGCAAAAGAAAAGGCAGAAACAGCAAAAAAAAAUGCAGAAGCGGAAAAAAAUAAAGCAGAAACAGCAGCAAAAACAGUAAUGAACUCAAUAGAUAAAUAUAUAAAAGAUGUAGAAAAUCGUUUAAAAAACCCAGAAAAAAUAAAAAGCUAUUUAGAUGCUAUUCGUAAUGAUAUUGUAUUAUAUUGGUCUAAAUGUAGUGUUCCUUGUAAAGUAAAAGGAAUUAAAAUGAAAAGAAAAGAAGAAAGUAAAGAUAAACCAGCUAAAGAUUUAACUAUAGCAGAUGUCGAUGUUGAAAUUUGUAAAGUAGAUCAAUGUUCUAGUAUAUUAAAUACUAUUAGUAAUGGUUUAGGAUUAUUAAUAGUUUUAUCUUUAUUAUA